CCAGAUCUAAGAUCGAUUCCUCACUCCUUAGUCCUCACUCCUCAGCAUCUUGUCUCUCUCGACUCUCGACUGUCGAUCUCCGCGCCUCUCAACUCUCAAUCUCCGCGCCUCUCGUCGUCGCCGACUGUCUGUCUCUUCGUGCCUCUCGUCGUCGCCGAUUGAGCCAGAAAUGACGUAGGCGAGGCGGGGUGGAAGAGGAAGAGAGGAGAUGGGUAGUGGGUGGAGCUUGGAUUCGACGAAGACGUCGUCAACUGUCUGUCUCUUCGUGCCUCUCGUCGUCGCCGAUUAAGCCGGAAAUGAGGUAGGUGAGGCGGGGUGGAAGAGGAAGAGAGGAGAUGGGUAGUGGAUGGAGCUUGGAUUCGACGAAGACGGAGGCGGAAGAGCCGUCGGAGGUGGCGUAACGGUGGAGGGGGGGAUGGGAGUUCUGUUCUGCAACAGUAUAACCAAAAAGAUGAAGACUGCUUCACUCCAAUAUUAAUGAAGGUCCAAUCAGCGCAGUAAAAGCAUUUUACACCAUAAACACCUAUAGAGGCGCAUCCCUUUGAUUCAAUAGCUUCCGCUUUGCAUUAUGUAAGAUCACUUAGUAAUAUGUUCUAUGCAAUUUAGUGCAGUUAAACACGGAGUGGGACAACUGUUAUGCAAUUUGUACUUUAUUUGUAAAUAUUCUGCUGCAUUUAUUGAAUUCAGUUAAUUGGAG
rnacentral:lncRNA from 1 species